rnacentral:rRNA from 1 species
GUCGUCAGCUCGUGCCGUGAGGUGUCGGGUUAAGUCCGUAACGAGCGCAACCCUUGUCCUUAGUUACCAGCACGUUAUGGUGGGCACUCUAAGGAGACUGCCGGUGCAAACCGGAGGAAGGUGGGGAUGACGUCAAGUCAUCAUGGCCCUUACGGCCUGGGCUACACACGUGCUACAAUGGUCGGUACAAAGGGUUGCCAAGCCGCGAGGUGGAGCUAAUCCCAUAAAACCGAUCGUAGUCCGGAUCGCAGUCUGCAACUCGACUGCGUGAAGUCGGAAUCGCUAGUAAUCGUGAAUCAGAAUGUCACGGUGAAUACGUUCCCGGGCCUU